GGAUGAACGCUGNGCGGCGUGCCUUAGGCAUGCAAGUCGAUCGGUCCGCAGGACCGAGGAUAUUAGGAUUUAGGAAGCAGUGAUUAGUCAAAAAUUAUUAAAGACUAAUCAUUGAUAUCUUUACCUUCUUAGUACCUUCUAUCCUGCGGAUAGAGGCGGAAGGGUGAGUAACGCGUGGGAACGUACCUGUUGGUGGAGAAUAGCUCGCCGAAAGGCGGGGUAAUUCUGCAUAAAAUCGCAAGAUAAAAGGGCUUAACCGCCCGCCGAUAGAGCGGCCCGCGUCCUAUCAGUUUGUUGGUGGGGUAAUGGCCUACCAAGACGAUGACGGGUAGCUGGGCUGAGAGGUCGGCCAGCCACAAUGGAACUGAGACACGGUCCAUACACCUACGGGUGGCAGCAACCGGGAAUCUUGGACAAUGGGCGAAAGCCUGAUCCAGCGACGCCGCGUGGGGGAAGAAGGCCUUCGGGUUGUAAACUCCUUUUGUGGUCCAUAACGGACCAAGAAUAAGCACCUGCCAACUACGUGCCAGCAGCCGCGGUGAUACGUAGGGUGCAAGCGUUAUCCGGAUUUACUGGGCGUAAAGGGUUGCGUAGGCGGCGUGUUGAGUCAAAGUUUAAAUAUCCCGGCUUAACUGGGAAACUGAUUUCGAUACUGGCAUGCUUUGAGUCUCAAAGAGGUAGCUGGAACUUGCAGUGGAGCGGUGAAAUGCGUUGAGAUUGCAAGGAACACCAAAGGCGUAGGCAGGCUACUGGUUGAGUACUGACGCUGAUGCACGAAAGCUAGGGGAGCGAAAGGGAUUAGAGACCCCUGUAGUCCUAGCCGUAAACGAUGGACACUAGAUGACCGUCCCGCCCUUUCUGUGAUACUGAUUAACAAAGUUGAUCUAACUUGAAUUUUUUUUAGUUGAUUACUUUGGAUGUUGGUAAUCUUAGAAAGAGCGGGAUGGUUGUCGCAAGCUAACGCGUUAAGUGUCCCGCCUGGGGAGUACGGUCGCAAGACUAAAACUCAAAGGAAUUGACGGGGACCCGCACAAGCGGUGGAGCAUGUGGUUUAAUUCGACGCAACGCGAAGAACCUUACCUGGGCUUGACAUGCACGGGAAACCUCUCAGAAAGGGGAGGCCCUCUUCGGAGUCCGUGCACAGGUGCUGCAUGGCUGUCGUCAGCUCGUGUCGUGAGAUGUUGGGUUAAGUCCCGCAACGAGCGCAACCCCCGUCCCUAGUUACCAGCGGGUCAUGCCGGGCACUCUAGGGAGACUGCCGGUGCCAAACCGGAGGAAGGUGGGGACGACGUCAAGUCAUCAUGGUCCUUACGUCCAGGGCUACACACGUGCUACAAUGGGCGGGACAGAGGGUCGCGAGGGGGAAACCCGGAGCCAAUCCCGACAAACCCGCCCUCAGUUCGGAUUGUCCUCUGCAACCCGAGGGCAUGAAGCUGGAAUCGCUAGUAAUCGUGGAUCAGCUACGCCACGGUGAUACGUUCCCGGGCAUUGUACACACC
rnacentral:rRNA from 1 species